GGUGUUCAUAGCUUAAAGGUAGAGCAUCUGCUUUGUCUGCAGAAGGUCCCAGAUUCAACCCCCAGGGGCAUCU